rnacentral:rRNA from 1 species
GUUUAAUUCGAAGCAACGCGCAGAACCUUACCAACCCUUGACAUGGCGAUCGCGGUUCCAGAGAUGGUUCCUUCAGUUCGGCUGGAUCGCACACAGGUGCUGCAUGGCUGUCGUCAGCUCGUGUCGUGAGAUGUUCGGUUAAGUCCGGCAACGAGCGCAACCCACACUCUUAGUUGCCAGCAUUCAGUUGGGCACUCUAGGAGAACUGCCGAUGAUAAGUCGGAGGAAGGUGUGGAUGACGUCAAGUCCUCAUGGCCCUUACGGGUUGGGCUACACACGUGCUACAAUGGUGGUGACAAUGGGUUAAUCCCUAAAAGCCAUCUCAGUUCGGAUUGGGGUCUGCAACUCGACCCCAUGAAGUCGGAAUCGCUAGUAAUCGCGUAACAGCAUGACGCGGUGAAUACGUUCCCGGGCCUUGUACACACCGCCCGUCACAUCCAUGGGAGGUGGGUUUACCCCGAAGGUGGUGCUACCAAUCCUGUAAAGGAGGCAGCCAACCC